rnacentral:rRNA from 1 species
UACGUAGGGACCGAGCGUUGUCCGGAAUCAUUGGGCGUAAAGAGCGUGUAGGCGGCCACUUAAGUCCUGCGUGAAAUCUUGCGGCUCAACCGCAAGCGGUCGUGGGAAACUGGGUGGCUAGAGUGCGGGAGAGGAGAGUGGAAUUCCUGGUGUAGCGGUGAAAUGCGCAGAUAUCAGGAGGAACACCGAUGGCGAAGGCAGGUCUCUGGGCCACUACUGACGCUGAGAAGCGAAAGCAUGGGGAGCGAACAGG